rnacentral:rRNA from 1 species
CCUACGGGUGGCAGCAGUGAGGAAUAUUGGUCAAUGGGCUUACGCCUGAACCAGCCAAGUCGCGUGCGGGAAGACUGCCCUAUGGGUUGUAAACCUCUUUUGUCAGGGAGUAACGCCGGCUACGCGUAGCCGGACUGAGAGUACCUGCAGAUAAAGCACCGGCAAACUCCGUGCCAGCAGCCGCGGUAAUACGGAGGAUGAGAGCGUUAUCCGGUUUUAUGGGGUUUAAGGGGUGCGUAGGCGGAAUGCCAAGUCAGCGGUAAAAUCGGGGGGCUCAACCUCGCUCCGCCGUUGAAACUGUCGUUCUUGAGUGGGCGUGAAGUAUGCGGAAUGCAUGGUGUAGCGGUGAAAUGCAUAGAGAUCAUACAGAACUCCGAUUGCGAAGGCAGCAUACCGGCGCCCGACUGACGCUGAAGCACGAAAGCGUGGGUAGCGAACAGGAUUAGAUACCCGAGUAGUC